rnacentral:misc_RNA from 1 species
GAUGAAGAACGCAGCGAAAUGCGAUACUUGGUGUGAAUUGCAGAAUCCCGUGAACCAUCGAGUCUUUGAACGCAAGUUGCGCCCGAAGCCAUUAGGCCGAGGGCACGCCUGCCUGGGCGUCACACGUCGUUGCCCCCCCAUCUACUCCUUCGGGAUUGCGGGGGGCGGAUGAUGGCCUCCCGUGCGCCUCGUCGCGCGGUUGGCAUAAAUGCCAAGUCCUCGGCGACGCACGCCACAACAAUCGGUGGUUGCGAAACCUCGGUUGCCCGUCGUGUGCGGUCGUCGCGCAUCGAGGGCUCGAAAAAAUUGCCGGGCUCCGGCUCGGCUUUCAACGCGACCCCAGGUCAGGCGGGGUUACCCGCUGAAUUUAAGCAUAUCAAUAAGCGGAGGA